AGAAAUUUACAACCUCUAUCCGCCCGGGAACUACGAGCAUAAGCUUAAAACCCAAAGGACUUGGCGGUGCUUUAGACCCCCCUAGAGGAGCCUGUUCUAGAACCGAUAACCCCCGUUUAACCUCACCUUUUCUUGUUUAUCCCGCCUAUAUACCGCCGUCGUCAGCAUACCCUGUGAAGGAAUUACAGUAAGCAAAAUUGGUAAAACCCAAAACGCCAGGUCGAGGUGUAGCAUACGAAAAGGGAAGAAAUGGGCUACAUUUCCUACCCUAGGAAACACGGAUUGUGUCAUGAAAUAACACAUAAAGGAGGAUUUAGCAGUAAGCAGAAAGCAGAGCGUUC
rnacentral:rRNA from 1 species